AACACUGCCCGAUUUGUUCUGCGCAUGUCUAAUGUUUUACGACACACGAGAAAAAAAGUUACUGUGGGAUUUAAAUUUCUCGGUCUGCAUUAACAAAUAUAACUUCCACCAUUCGAGAGAGAAGGAGAAAGAAGAACGCCAUAAAGAAGAAUAGGAGCAUAUUGAAUUUUUCUUCGGGAAGAAGAAUACUUUUCACUUCUUGAAAAAAUGAAGACUUUUCAAUUUUACAACAACUUGAAAGAAUAUCUUUUACGGGAAGAAUUUAGCAACAAUUUAACGGUCAGAGAGCGAAGUGAAAUACGACGCGCGUCCGUGAGUUUUAUGAUUAAAGUCCAUCAUCCAUGCCCUGGCUGCUCUACAAGGUGUAUCAGGACAGGAGGCAGAAGAUUUAUUUCUUGGUGGCCCAGAAUACAGUGUCAGUGAAGUGGAAGAAUUUAAUCGAAAGAUAGGGCAGCAAUUAAAGAAGGAGGGAAUGCUGUGAUAUCUGUUGGAAUAGAAGAUGAUGCUACUGCCCAGUGCUUCCAGAAUCCUUCAUUUGAGUCUUGGGUCUGAAUCUACUGCGUCAUUGCCAAGUAUUCUGGGGUAAUGUAUCUUGUUUUGUUUACAUUUUGUUUUUCUCCAUAUUCCAAGCUCAUUUACUUGACCUUAGCUUUAAUAAACUGGAUGGCUGUCUCCUUCACAAUUGAUUUGAAAGUACUUUACUAUUCAUUACAUAAAAAGCUCUGAACAAUUUAGUCCCUUCCUGUAUUUGGUACUGUCUCUCCCCCAACACUCCUCAUUUUAAUCUUUAAUCCACAACCAAUAUUGCCAACUAAUUUGCUUAUGAAAGGACUGGUGAAGCAGCUUGCACAUGUAUACCAAAAAUAUAGAAUGCCAGCUAUAAAUGAAAACCUAUCAAAAUACUUUUAAAACACCAUUUUUAAACUUCACUUCUGUUUAAUUCCCACUUCUAUCAGUUGUAAUGGUUUAUGACUUGAACUGCAUACACUUUGAAAGAUUUACACUAGAUAAUAACCAUUGUUUUUUUGCUUUUUUUUUUUUUGUCUGGUGAUGCCCUUUGCCAUGCACCCUGGUCAAGUCUUGUGCAACUGUCUGUGGUGCUGAAGAGAGAAGAUUUCUGAAGACCCCCUUGAAAUGGAGUGGCAUCUGGAUUAACACUACAACAAUAUGCUUGCUAAGAAUGUCCACAGGGGCCUGGGGAGUCUGUGACCUUCUCUGACCAACUAGACCUUUUGUGUUCUUCAACAGGGCCAUCUGACCAUCAGAUGUAUAUAAUUUUCCUCUUGUGUACUUUUUGUGUAUAUGUAUUUUCGCAGUUUCAUAAAGUUAUAUGUAUUUGUUAAGCAGUUUGGACUUUAUUAGUAUUAAAAUGUUACAGAAGUUAUUUGUGGAAUAAUUUUAAUGAUCAAAAUAGCAAAAAAUGUAACUUUAAAUUUUCUGUGCUCUGGGUAAAA